AUUCAGCUGACGAGUCCCAAAUAGGACGAACGUGGAU
rnacentral:hammerhead_ribozyme from 1 species